rnacentral:rRNA from 1 species
UGGGGAAUAUUGCACAAUGGGCGAAAGCCUGAUGCAGCGACGCCGCGUGAGGGAUGACGGCCUUCGGGUUGUAAACCUCUUUCGCACGGGACGAAGCGAGAGUGACGGUACCGUGAGAAGAAGCACCGGCUAACUACGUGCCAGCAGCCGCGGUAAUACGUAGGGUGCGAGCGUUGUCCGGAAUUAUUGGGCGUAAAGAGCUCGUAGGCGGUUUGUCGCGUCUAUCGUGAAAACUGGAGGCUUAACUUUCAGCGUGCGGUGGAUACGGGCAGACUUGAGUUCGGUAGGGGAGACUGGAAUUCCUGGUGUAGCGGUGAAAUGCGCAGAUAUCAGGAGGAACACCGGUGGCGAAGGCGGGUCUCUGGGCCGAAACUGACGCUGAGGAGCGAAAGCGUGGGGAGCGAACAGGAUUAGAUACCCUGGUAGUCCACGCUGUAAACGUUGGGCGCUAGGUGUGGGGAGCAUUCAUGUUUUCCGUGCCGUAGCUAACGCAUUAAGCGCCCCGCCUGGGGA